rnacentral:tRNA from 1 species
AAUCAUGAGGGCCUUUGGACGUGCUCGGUGGUGCCGAGCGCGAAAGACAGCCUUCGACGGCGGUUCGAAUCCGCCCGGGACUA